CAAGAAGGGAAGUUCUUUGGGAGAGAAGGGAAGCUGGUAAAGGCCAUGCUAUUUCCCAAAGGCCUGACCCUCUGGGCCACCCCUAGCAAUAUAGUCAGCGUGGAAUAUGAUCCCACCUAGAAAAUGAAUGGCACUAUUUUAAGAGUAGAGCAUCUUGGGGAAAUCUAGGAUACCUACUCUGAAGCUUUUACUCAAGUGUGGAAGCCACACCAGUAUGCAGGUAUACUGUCUUACAAAUCUAGAAGGAUAUUUUAGUUUUCAAGCACCCCAUGAACACUUUUUAAAAAAUUCAACCACUGGCUGGGCAUGGUGGCUCACACCAGUAAUCCCAGCACUUUGGGAGGCCGAGGCGGGCGGAUCACUUGAGGUCAGG
rnacentral:lncRNA from 1 species